rnacentral:lncRNA from 1 species
UAAUAAUAAUAAAAUAUUAAAUAUUCUCUUGUGUAUUUUAUUUGGUACAUCUACCGAAAAUAUCUUACUGUAGGCUGCAGAUAUGAAUCCGAUGAUGCCUUCUCCGGCGAUGGUGAUAGUGACGGCGACGACGAUCUCUCCGAUAGCGGCGGAAGAAGGAAUUGGGCACACAUUAGUGAGAGAGAGAGGGAGUGAGAGAAGGAGGCGAUGGUGUAUAGCUAAAGAUGAGAAAUAAAGAAUUGAUGAACAAAUCGAAGAUAAAGGAUUGAAAGUUCAGUGGAAGGAGGAAAAUGGGCCAUGAUGAAUAAUUGGAGAUAGAGGUUAGGAUCGUAGAUAGUAGUAGGACCAUUUAAAUAUAUUAAUUGAAAGUUUGGUAGUAGAACCAUUUACAUUAAUUGAAAGUAUAGUGGAGGGAAGGUAGUGGGACCAUUUAAAUGUACUAAUUGAAAGUUUGAUUAAUGAGACCGUUAAAAUGUAUAUUGAAAAUUUAGUGAACAUGAUGAAUAAUUGGAUAUAGAGAGAUUAGGAUCGUAGAUAGUAGUAGGACCAUUUAAAUAUACUAAUUGAAAGUUUGGUAGUGAAACCAUUUACAUUAAUUGAAAAUAUAGUGGAGGGAAGGUAAUGGAACCAUUUAAAUGCACUAAUUGAAAGUUUGUUUAAUGGGACCAUUAAAAUGCAUAUUGAAAAUUUAGUGAUGGAAAGAAGAAGAGUUACAUUAGUGAGGGUGAAGAAAAACUUGCCACAUGGCAACAAAUAUUGAGGAUUCAUAUAGUUUAAUAGAUAGUUGGAAUAUUUAUU